rnacentral:rRNA from 1 species
AACGAACGCUGGCGGCAUGCCUAACACAUGCAAGUCGAACGAGACCUUCGGGUCUAGUGGCGCACGGGUGCGUAACACGUGGGAAUCUGCCCUUUGCUUCGGAAUAACAGAUAGAAAUGACUGCUAAUACCGGAUGAUGUCGAAAGACCAAAGAUUUAUCGGCAAAGGAUGAGCCCGCGUAGGAUUAGGUAGUUGGUGGGGUAAAGGCCUACCAAGCCGACGAUCCUUAGCUGGUCUGAGAGGAUGAUCAGCCACACUGGGACUGAGACACGGCCCAGACUCCUACGGGAGGCAGCAGUGGGGAAUAUUGGACAAUGGGCGAAAGCCUGAUCCAGCAAUGCCGCGUGAGUGAUGAAGGCCUUAGGGUUGUAAAGCUCUUUUACCAGGGAUGAUAAUGACAGUACCUGGAGAAUAAGCUCCGGCUAACUCCGUG